rnacentral:sRNA from 1 species
GAGACGUGAACGGUCGUUGCGGAGGUUGCGGGCGGCUGAGACGCCGCCUGCCUGGCACCUGGGAGCGCAGCGGAGCCCCGACGCCGCCGCCGCCAUGGAGUCCGAGACCGAACCCGAGCCCGUCACGCUCCUGGUGAAGAGCCCCAACCAGCGCCAUCGCGACUUGGAGCUGAGUGGCGACCGCGGCUGGAGCGUGGGCCACCUCAAGGCCCACCUGAGCCGUGUCUACCCCGAGCGUCCGCGUCCAGAGGACCAGAGGUUAAUUUAUUCUGGGAAGCUGUUGUUGGAUCACCAAUGUCUCAGGGACUUGCUUCCAAAGCAGGAAAAACGGCAUGUUUUGCAUCUGGUGUGCAAUGUGAAGAGUCCUUCAAAAAUGCCAGAAAUCAACGCCAAGGUGGCUGAAUCCACAGAGGAGCCUGCUGGUUCUAAUCGGGGACAGUAUCCUGAGGAUUCCUCAAGUGAUGGUUUAAGGCAAAGGGAAGUUCUUCGGAACCUUUCUUCCCCUGGAUGGGAAAACAUCUCAAGGCCUGAAGCUGCCCAGCAGGCAUUCCAAGGCCUGGGUCCUGGUUUCUCCGGUUACACACCCUAUGGGUGGCUUCAGCUUUCCUGGUUCCAGCAGAUAUAUGCACGACAGUACUACAUGCAAUAUUUAGCAGCCACUGCUGCAUCAGGGGCUUUUGUUCCACCACCAAGUGCACAAGAGAUACCUGUGGUCUCUGCACCUGCUCCAGCCCCUAUUCACAACCAGUUUCCAGCUGAAAACCAGCCUGCCAAUCAGAAUGCUGCUCCUCAAGUGGUUGUUAAUCCUGGAGCCAAUCAAAAUUUGCGGAUGAAUGCACAAGGCAUCACGUUGGGUGGUUUCCAUUUAGACCGAGGCCGGUUCAGAACUUCCCAAAUGAUGGUCCUCCUCCUGACAUUGUAAAUCAGGACCCCAACAAUAACUUACAGGAAGGCACUGAUCCUGAAACUGAAGACCCCAACCACGUCCCUCCAGACAGGGGUGUACUAGAUGGCGAGCAGACCGGCCCCUCAUUUAUGAGCACAGCAUGGCUUGUCUUCAAGACUUUCUUUGCCUCUCUUCUUCCAGAAGGCCCCCCAGCCAUCGCAAACUGAUGGUGUUUGUGCUGUAGCUGUUGGAGGCUUUGACAGGAAUGGACUGGAUCACCUGACUCCAGCUAGAUUGCCUCUCCUGGACAUGGCAAUGAUGAGUUUUUAAAAAACAGUGUGGAUGACGAUAUGCUUUUGUGAUCAAGCAAAAGCAGAAACGUGAAGCCGUGAUACAAAUUGGUGAACAAAAAAUGCCCAAGGCUUCUCAUGUCUUUAUUCUGAAGAGCUUUAAUAUAUACUGUAUGUAGUUUAAUAAGCACUGUAAGUAGAAGGCCUUAGGUGUUGCAUGUCUGUGCUUGAGGAACUUUUCCAAAU